CCCUUAGAUGUUCUGGGCCGCACGCGCGCUACACUGAUGCAUUCAACGAGCCUAUCCUUGACCGACAGGUCCGGGUAAUCUUUGAAUCUGCAUCGUGACGGGGAUAGAUUAUUGCAAUUAUUAAUCUUCAACGAGGAAUGCCUAGUAGGCGCAAGUCAUCAGCUUGCGUCGAUUACGUCCCUGCCCUUUGUACACACCGCCCGUCGCUCCUACCGAUUGAGCGAUCCGGUAAAUGUUUUGGAUUGGUGCCGGGGCGGCUAGCUGCCGGUCGCUACGAAAUUUUGUGAACCUUAUCGCUUAGAGGAAGGAAAAGUCGUAACA
rnacentral:rRNA from 1 species